GGCUGUAUAGUCUAGUCGUAUGAUACUCGCUUUGGGUACACAUGUUUCGUGCUUGCGAGAGGUCCCGAGUUCAAUUCUCGGUGCAGCCC
rnacentral:tRNA from 1 species